CACACAACAGAGCAGGCGGCAGAGCCGGGACCCACUCCGAGGCCCAGCGAGCACUGCCGGAAAGCCUUGCCCAGGAGGGGGUGGGGAGCUGCAGGAGACGAUGCCCGGGGAGAGGGCCCUGCAAAUCGGGAAGGGUCAGAUACACAACCGGGUGUGGAGAGGGGAGAGAAAGGAGAGUGCAGAGAAGGAUCCUUGAGGAUAAAACAAUUGGAAGGAGCAAAGAUUUAUCUUUCCGUAGGGGGAAGUGGGGAGAAGGAGAGAGUAAAUUAAGAAGAGAGGAUGGGAAGAAUUGUACAGACAAGCACCUUCUUUGACGUGCUUGGGGAACCACGUUAAGAACCGACAAGCCCAUGAGCUCUCAGGGAAUUCUGAGCUCCCCUGAGUCACACCUCCAUCCAGAUGUGGGCAAGGGAACGCGUCCCAGGCUCCACUCUCCGCUGCCCAGCACUCAGCAGAGGUCCGGUGGAAAACGGACUGGCCUUUUGGUUAGUACUCCUGGACGUAUU